GCUCGUAGUCGGAUGUCGGGCUUGGGCAGGCUGUCGGCGUUUGUCGGACGGCAGGCUCGGGCCUUUCUGCCUGGGGACCUUGUUGCACUUCAUUGUGGGGCAAUGGGACGCAGGCCGUUUACUUUGAAAAAAUUAGAGUGUUCAAAGCAGGCCUACGCUUGAAUACAUUAGCAUGGAAUAAUGGAAUAGGACUUUGGUGCCAUUCUGUUGGUUUAUGGAACCGAAGUAAUGAUUAAUAGGGACAGUUGGGGCCGUUUAUAUUUCGUUGUCAGAGGUGAAAUUCUUGGAUUUACGAAAGAUAAACUUCUGCGAAAGCAUUCGGCAAGGAUGUUUUCAUUGAUCAAGAACGAAAGUUAGGGGAUCGAAGACGAUCAGAUACCGUCGUAGUCUUAACCAUAAACUAUGCCGACUAGGGAUCAGUGGAUGUCAAUUUGCGACUCCAUUGGCACCUUGUGAGAAAUCAAAGUUUUUGGGUUCCGGGGGGAGUAUGGUCGCAAGGCUGAAACUUAAAGGAAUUGACGGAAGGGCACCACCAGGAGUGGAGCCUGCGGCUUAAUUUGACUCAACACGGGGAAACUCACCAGGUCCAGACAUAGUAAGGAUUGACAGAUUGAAAGCUCUUUCUUGAUUCUAUGGGUGGUGGUGCAUGG
rnacentral:rRNA from 1 species